GCUGGGUGUGGUGGCGCACACCUGUAAUCCCAGCUGCUCAGAAGGCUGAGGCAGGAUGAUUACAAGUUCAAAGUCAGCCAGCCUCAGCAAGUUAUCGAGACUCUAAGCAAUUUAAUGAGACCCUGUCUCAA
rnacentral:sRNA from 1 species